rnacentral:lncRNA from 14 species
CCAGCACUAAUCUGUGAACACAAGGCCUCCCAAGCGCUACAGUUGCUGCCUCUCCCGUAUUAACAUGGGCCACAUCUGCAAGGUAUUUCCAGCACUUGUGACAGAAAAGCUCCCUCUGCAAAUUCAAAAUAG